AGAGAUGAGGUGUAAAGGUGUUUCGUGUUCAACCGAGGCACAGCUCAAUUAUUAUUGAGUGAGUGCUCAAAGAAGGUGAAAAGCCUGUGUGGUUGUGCUUAGUCGGUUAAACCGAGACACUCACGAGUCUAGUUGUUUGAGAGUACAACUUAAAGCUGUUGGUAAAUUUCAUCAAAGGCUAAAUAUAUGAAGGGACUAAUAGCGAACAAGUACCAUGAGGGAAAGUUGAAAAGAACUCUGACGAGAGAGUUCAACAGUACGUGAAACCAUAUUGAGUAAAACAGAUAACUGUGUGAUUCCGUGUGUGCCUAUCAACAGUCACCGUGGUUUUGUGGUAUCGUAAGUUUAGGUUGAUUUGUCAGCCGAGUACUCGUGGUCUGCAUAACCGAGGUAUCUGUGCACUAGCGCUCACAUGAUCAUUGAUAACCUAUGUUGCUGCAGCAUCGGCGUGAAACAGUCCGUACUAAGUACACAGUUGCAUGAUGAGGCUGACCAGCCGGCGUAGUUUAGCACUUUAAUUGCUGUGGGCCACGUUUGCUCAAAGUGGCUGUCGUAACCGUGAACUGGUUAUUUCUUUUUCGCGGUGGGCAUGUUACUGACGGCAAGUAGCUCGACAUCAAUGAUAUACAUUAGUUAUCUGACCCGUCUUGAAACACGGACCAAGGAGUUCAAAUGGCACGCGAGUCAUUGGGUUUUGCACCCGAAGGCGAAGUGAAAUGCAAAUAUGUCGUUCCCUGUGGUUGUUCCAUGGUUAAACGAUGAGCUACUUGUGCUU
rnacentral:rRNA from 1 species